UACGUAGGUGGCAAGCGUUGUCCGGAUUUACUGGGUGUAAAGGGCGUGCAGCCGGGAAGACAAGUCAGAUGUGAAAUCCCGCGGCUCAACCGCGGAACUGCAUUUGAAACUGUUUUUCUUGAGUACCGGAGAGGUCAUCGGAAUUCCUUGUGUAGCGGUGAAAUGCAUAGAUAUCACGCAGAACCCCGAUUGCGAAGGCAGCCUUCCGGCGCCCUACUGACGCUGAGGCACGAAAGUGCGGGGAUCGAACAGG
rnacentral:rRNA from 1 species